GGGGGAGCUACAGGUGGAAGAGGGAAUGCUACAGUCACAGGUCACAUGAUUUUACAUGAAUUUUUCAACAUUCUAAAUUUCAAUAUCUCCUUGGUCAUGUGACCUACUGACUUCAAACAAGGUUCAGAAUGUCCACCGACUACUCUUCUAUAUUGCACGCCCUUUAGUUUGUCCAUUUUCAUCUCACAUGAUUUUACAUGAUCUUUUCCAAAUUUAAAAUGUCAAUAGCUCCCUGGUCAUGUGACCCAACUGACUUCAAACAAGGUUCAGAAUGUCCUCUGACUAUACCUUCAUAUCUCACACCCUGAUGUUUGUAUACUUUUGUCUCACAUGCUAUUAGACUUAAAUCUGUAAGCUCUUGCAGGCCUUCAUUUUACACGGGUGUUUACAAAAAUGUUUUUGAAGUUAAACAAAAUGUUCCAACCUCCCAAUAACUAUCUUUCACCUGGACACUGAAAAGAGCCGCAAGUGGCUGUAUGGCUCUGUCACUCUCAGACAUGCGCAGAGCAGACCGAAAAGGGGAAGAGUAGCUCUUGACUUGAACCACAGGGGUUUCUCUGUAAAUAGAGAGUAAUCCUAAAGCCACAGACACACCCCUUGACUUUCAAUUGGCACCCUUGACCUGUAUGUAUUCUCUCCUGAUUGGUCCCUAUGGUGCUUAGCCAAUGGGAACUGCAUCUCUCCUGAUUGGUCUCUGUGGUGCUUAGCCAAUUGGAACUCUGUUGCCAGCCCCAUCAUAAAGGUUUUUACACAGCCUGUCAGUCUGACUGACGUGCCAGAGGUACGAGGAUACACCUCCUCCUUUGUAUUUAUGGGUAACAAAUAUUUCCAAACACUUUGGAUCCUAUUCUUGGACAGUUAGAAGACACAAUGCAUCAAUGCAACAACAUUUUUGGGUGGGGGAUGAAACUGUCACUUCAUAUUUUUUUCUUAAAGUCUACAAACGCUCUACAUUUAUUCACUCUGUGAUAGGGUUGGAUCCUAUAUGCUAUUUAUUUAUUUUUUGUCCUGUAAAUAGUUCAGUGCCUAUAAUUUAGGCUGUGUGUAGAAUGGGGCAUGAAGGAAAUGACCUCUACUAGAUUAUAGUGAUAAGGAAAACAGCAUACAAAUGUGGCUUGUGUAUUCAUUUGCCUAUAAACUAAUCAGAUUUCCAUUACGUUUACAAUUUAAAACAAGAGAAUACUUCAAAAUGAGAAGAUCCUGCCAUGGAAAAGACGACUGGCUGGACAUAAAGUGUAAAGGAAUGGAAAUAACUCCCACCAUGCAGCAGGACACCUUCAGCUGCUGGGGUCUUUGUAAUGCAGGUGUAGAUGGCUAAAGGAAGUUGCACAGAACUUCCCUAACAUCCCAAAUUGAUAUAAAACCUUCACAAAAACACAUGGAGCAACUGCAGAAAGAAAUGGCUGAGGAUAUACUAAACAUGUCUGAGUUCAAACAAAGCCAACAACUGCUUCAUGUGUGCCACUGAUAAAGAACCUGGAUGUGGCCCCAAGACUGACUGGAUGGAAUGUUUUGCCAACGGUGGUUCCAUGUGCUGUAACUAGGGAAUGAAGAUACGAGUUCAACAGAGGAAAGAACACAAACAGGAAGUGCAGUCUUUUGUUUUUAGAUGGAAUGUUUUGCCAACGGUGGUUCCGUGUGCUGUAACUAGGGAUGAAGAUACGAGUUCAACAGAGGAAAGAACACAAACAGGAAGUGCAGUCUUUUGUUUUUAGAUGGAAUGUUUUGCCAACGGUGGUUCCAUGUGCUGUAACUAGGAAUGAAGAUACGAGUUCAACAGAGGACAGAACACAAACAGGAAGUGCAGUCUUUUGUUUUUAGAUGGAAUGUUUUGCCAACGGUGGUUCCGUGUGCUGUAACUAGGGAUGAAGAUACGAGUUCAACAGAGGAAAGAACACAAACAGGAAGUGCAGUCUUUUGUUUUUAGAUGGAAUGUUUUGCCAACGGUGGUUCCAUGUGCUGUAACUAGGGAAUGAAGAUACGAGUUCAACAGAGGAAAGAACACAAACAGGAAGUGCAGUCUUUUGUUUUUAGAUGGAAUGUUUUGCCAACGGUGGUUCCAUGUGCUGUAACUAGGGAUGAAGAUACGAGUUCAACAGAGGAAAGAACACAAACAGGAAGUGCAGUCUUUUGUUUUUAGAUGGAAUGUUUUGCCAACGGUGGUUCCAUGUGCUGUAACUAGGGAAUGAAGAUACGAGUUCAACAGAGGAAAGAACACAAACAGGAAGUGCAGUCUUUUGUUUUUAGAUGGAAUGUUUUGCCAACGGUGGUUCCGUGUGCUGUAACUAGGAAUGAAGAUACGAGUUCAACAGAGGAAAGAACACAAACAGGAAGUGCAGUCUUUUGUUUUUAGAUGGAAUGUUUUGCCAACGGUGGUUCCGUGUGCUGUAACUAGGAAUGAAGAUACGAGUUCAACAGAGGAAAGAACACAAACAGGAAGUGCAGUCUUUUGUUUUUAGAUGGAAUGUUUUGCCAACGGUGGUUCCGUGUGCUGUAACUAGGAAUGAAGAUACGAGUUCAACAGAGGAAAGAACACAAACAGGAAGUGCAGUCUUUUGUUUUUAGAUGGAAUGUUUUGCCAACGGUGGUUCCGUGUGCUGUAACUAGGAAUGAAGAUACGAGUUCAACAGAGGAAAGAACACAAACAGGAAGUGCAGUCUUUUGUUUUUAGAUGGAAUGUUUUGCCAACGGUGGUUCCAUGUGCUGUAACUAGGGAAUGAAGAUACGAGUUCAACAGAGGAAAGAACACAAACAGGAAGUGCAGUCUUUUGUUUUUAGAUGGAAUGUUUUGCCAACGGUGGUUCCGUGUGCUGUAACUAGGAAUGAAGAUACGAGUUCAACAGAGGAAAGAACACAAACAGGAAGUGCAGUCUUUUGUUUUUAGAUGGAAUGUUUUGCCAACGGUGGUUCCGUGUGCUGUAACUAGGAAUGAAGAUACGAGUUCAACAGAGGAAAGAACACAAACAGGAAGUGCAGUCUUUUGUUUUUAGAUGGAAUGUUUUGCCAACGGUGGUUCCGUGUGCUGUAACUAGGAAUGAAGAUACGAGUUCAACAGAGGAAAGAACACAAACAGGAAGUGCAGUCUUUUGUUUUUAGAUGGAAUGUUUUGCCAACGGUGGUUCCGUGUGCUGUAACUAGGAAUGAAGAUACGAGUUCAACAGAGGAAAGAACACAAACAGGAAGUGCAGUCUUUUGUUUUUAGAUGGAAUGUUUUGCCAACGGUGGUUCCGUGUGCUGUAACUAGGAAUGAAGAUACGAGUUCAACAGAGGACAGAACACAAACAGGAAGUGCAGUCUUUUGUUUUUAGAUGGAAUGUUUUGCCAACGGUGGUUCCGUGUGCUGUAACUAGGAAUGAAGAUACGAGUUCAACAGAGGAAAGAACACAAACAGGAAGUGCAGUCUUUUGUUUUUAGAUGGAAUGUUUUGCCAACGGUGGUUCCGUGUGCUGUAACUAGGAAUGAAGAUACGAGUUCAACAGAGGAAAGAACACAAACAGGAUGUGCAGUCUUUUGUUUUUAGAUGGAAUGUUUUGCCAACGGUGGUUCCGUGUGCUGUAACUAGGAAUGAAGAUACGAGUUCAACAGAGGAAAGAACACAAACAGGAAGUGCAGUCUUUGUUGUUGAAAAUGUCUGCUGUACCUCAUCCACACUGAAGAGGCUCUGACAUGUACAUCAACCAGGGAUAAAGAGAAAGUUAACCAGGGAUAAAGAGGAAGUUAACACUGUGUAAUGUACAUCCACCAGGGAUAAAGAGGAAGUCAACCAGGGAUAAAGAGGAAGUUAACACUGUGUAAUGUACAUCAACCAGGGAUAAAGAGGAAGUUAACACUGUGUAAUGUACAUCCACCAGGGAUAAAGAGGAAGUUAACACUGUGUAAUGUACAUCAACCAGGGAUAAAGAGGAAGUUAACACUGUGUAAUGUACAUCCACCAGGGAUAAAGAGGAAGUUAACACUGUGUAAUGUACAUCAACCAGGGAUAAAGAGGAAGUUAACCAGGGAUAAAGAGGAAGUUAACACUGUGUAAUGUACAUCCACCAGGGAUGAAGAGGAAGUCAACCAGGGAUAAAGAGGAAGUUAACACUGUGUAAUGUACAUCCACCAGGGAUAAAGAGGAAGUUAACACUGUGUAAUGUACAUCCACCAGGGAUAAAGAGGAAGUUAACACUGUGUAAUGUACAUCCACCAGGGAUAAAGAGGAAGUUAACACUGUGUAAUGUACAUCAACCAGGGAUAAAGAGGAAGUUAACACUGUGUAAUGUACAUCCACCAGGGAUAAAGAGGAAGUUAACACUGUGUAAUGUACAUCAACCAGGGAUAAAGAGGAAGUCAACCAGGGAUAAAGAGGAAGUUAACACUGUGUAAUGUACAUCCACCAGGGAUAAAGAGGAAGUUAACACUGUGUAAUGUACAUCCACCAGGGAUAAAGAGGAAGUUAACACUGUGUAAUGUACAUCAACCAGGGAUAAAGAGGAAGUUAACACUGUGUAAUGUACAUCCACCAGGGAUAAAGAGGAAGUUAACCAGGGAUAAAGAGGAAGUUAACACUGUGUAAUGUACAUCCACCAGGGAUAAAGAGGAAGUUAACCAGGGAUAAAGAGGAAGUUAACACUGUGUAAUGUACAUCCACCAGGGAUAAAGAGGAAGUUAACACUGUGUAAUGUACAUCCACCAGGGAUAAAGAGGAAGUUAACACUGUGUAAUGUACAUCAACCAGGGAUAAAGAGGAAGUUAACACUGUGUAAUGUACAUCCACCAGGGAUAAAGAGGAAGUUAACACUGUGUAAUGUACAUCCACCAGGGAUAAAGAGGAAGUUAACACUGUGUAAUGUACAUCAACCAGGGAUAAAGAGGAAGUUAACACUGUGUAAUGUACAUCCACCAGGGAUAAAGAGGAAGUUAACAUUGUGUAAUGUACAUCAACCAGGGAUAAAGAGAAAGUUAACGCCGCAAAACGUUUCUUACUUAUUAGAAGUAAAACGUCUGUUGACAUUAUGAAAAAGAUUUAAAGGUCUACAAUUUCUGUUUAAUUUGUCAACAUUAAAAAAAUAAUAAUUGAUUUACUGGCCACCAUUACUGUGGUUCCCUGU